rnacentral:rRNA from 1 species
UCCUUUGACGUUAGCGGCGGACGGGUGAGUAACACGUGGGUAACCUACCUAUAAGACUGGGAUAACUUCGGGAAACCGGAGCUAAUACCGGAUAACAUUUGGAACCGCAUGGUUCUAAAGUGAAAGAUGGUUUUGCUAUCACUUAUAGAUGGACCCGCGCCGUAUUAGCUAGUUGGUAAGGUAACGGCUUACCAAGGCAACGAUACGUAGCCGACCUGAGAGGGUGAUCGGCCACACUGGAACUGAGACACGGUCCAGACUCCUACGGGAGGCAGCAGUAGGGAAUCUUCCGCAAUGGGCGAAAGCCUGACGGAGCAACGCCGCGUGAGUGAUGAAGGGUUUCGGCUCGUAAAACUCUGUUAUUAGGGAAGAACAAAUGUGUAAGUAACUGUGCACAUCUUGACGGUACCUAAUCAGAAAGCCACGGCUAACUACGUGCCAGCAGCCGCGGUAAUACGUAGGUGGCAAGCGUUAUCCGGAAUUAUUGGGCGUAAAGCGCGCGUAGGCGGUUUCUUAAGUCUGAUGUGAAAGCCCACGGCUCAACCGUGGAGGGUCAUUGGAAACUGGGAAACUUGAGUGCAGAAGAGGAAAGUGGAAUUCCAUGUGUAGCGGUGAAAUGCGCAGAGAUAUGGAGGAACACCAGUGGCGAAGGCGACUUUCUGGUCUGUAACUGACGCUGAUGUGCGAAAGCGUGGGGAUCAAACAGGAUUAGAUACCCUGGUAGUCCACGCCGUAAACGAUGAGUGCUAAGUGUUAAGGGGGUUUCCGCCCCUUAGUGCUGCAGCUAACGCAUUAAGCACUCCGCCUGGGGGAGUACGACCGCAAGGUUGAAACUCAAAGGAAUUGACGGGGACCCGCACAAGCGGUGGAAGCAUGUGGUUUAAUUCGAAGCAACGCGAAGAACCUUACCAAAUCUUGACAUCCUUUGAAACUCUAGAGAUAGAGCUUCCCCUUCGGGGGACAAAGUGACAGGGGGGGCAAGGGUUUCCUCAGCUCUUGCCCUGAAAAAUUUGGGGUUAAAUCCCCCAACGAGCGCAACCUUAAACUUA